rnacentral:rRNA from 1 species
AUUGAACGCUGGCGGCAGGCCUAACACAUGCAAGUCGAACGAGUGGCGGACGGGUGAGUAAUGUCUGGGAAACUGCCCGAUGGAGGGGGAUAACUACUGGAAACGGUAGCUAAUACCGCAUACCCUCGGAUGUGCCCAGAUGGGAUUGGCUAGUGGGGGGGGUAACGGCUCACCUAGGCGACGAUCCCUAGCUGGUCUGAGAGGAUGACCAGCCACACUGGAACUGAGACACGGCCCAGACUCCUACGGGCGGCAGCAGUGGGGAAUAUUGCAAAAUGGGCGAAAGCCUGAUGCAGCCAUGCCGCGUGUAUGAAGAAGGCCUUCGGGUUGUAAAGUACUUUCAGCGAGGAGGCGUUACUCGCAGAAGAAGCACCGGCUAACUCCGUGCCAGCAGCCGCGGUAAUAC